UACGUAGGCAGCAAGCGUUGUUCGGAGUUACUGGGCGUAAAGGGUGUGUAGGCGGCUUCUUAAGUUUGCUGUGAAAUCUCCCGGCUUAACCGGGAGGGUGCGGUGAAUACUGAGGGACUAGAGUACGGGAGAGGAAAGUGGAAUUCCUGGUGUAGCGGUGAAAUGCGUAGAUAUCAGGAGGAACACCGGUGGUGUAGACGGCUUUCUGGACCGUAACUGACGCUGAGACACGAAAGCGUGGGUAGCAAACAGG
rnacentral:rRNA from 1 species